rnacentral:rRNA from 1 species
GACAGAGGGUGCAAACGUUGCUCGGAAUUACUGGGCGUAAAGCGCGUGUAGACGGACUGGUGUGUCGGAUGUGAAAUCCCCAGGCUUAACCUGGGAACUGCAUUCGAGACUGCAUUGCUAGAGUAUGGGAGAGGGAAGUGGAAUUUCCGGUGUAGCGGUGAAAUGCGUAGAUAUCGGAAGGAACAUCAGUGGCGAAAGCGACUUCCUGGACCAAUACUGACGCUCAUGUGCGAAAGCGUGGGGAGCAAACAGG